rnacentral:pre_miRNA from 1 species
CAGUGUUGGGGCUCAGGAGACAGCACUCUUGGAGAAUCACCACCAUGGCCUGGGCUUUGCUUUUCCUUAUCCUCCUCACUCAGAGCACAGGUGA